rnacentral:rRNA from 1 species
GACGAACGCUGGCGGCGUGCUUAACACAUGCAAGUCGAGCGGUAAGGCCCUUUCGGGGGUACACGAGCGGCGAACGGGUGAGUAACACGUGGGUGACCUGCCCUCAGCUCUGGGAUAAGCCUGGGAAACCGGGUCCAAUACCGGAUAUGACUCCAUGACGCAUGUUGUGGGGUGGAAAGCCUUGUGCGGCUGAGGAUGGGCCCGCGGCCUAUCAGCUUGUUGGUGGGGUGAUGGCCUACCAAGGCGACGACGGGUAGCCGGCCUGAGAGGGCGACCGGCCACACUGGGACUGAGACACGGCCCAGACUCCUACGGGAGGCAGCAGUGGGGAAUCUUGCGCAAUGGGCGAAAGCCUGACGCAGCGACGCCGCGUGAGGGAUGACGGCCUCGGUUGUAAC